AUUGAACGCUGGCGGUAUGCUUAACACAUGCAAGUCGAACGGAAACGAUACUAGCUUGCUAGUAGGCGUCGAGUGGCGGACGGGUGAGUAACGCGUAGGAAUCUGCCUGAUAGUGGGGGAUAGCCCGGAGAAAUUCGGAUUAAUACCGCAUAAUCUAUUCGUAGUAAAGUGGGGGACUUUCGAGCCUCACGCUAUCAGAUGAGCCUGCGUAAGAUUAGCUUGUUGGUAGGGUAAAAGCCUACCAAGGCGACGAUCUUUAGCUGGUCUGAGAGGAUGAUCAGCCACAUCGGGACUGAGACACGGCCCGAACUCCUACGGGAGGCAGCAGUGGGGAAUAUUGGACAAUGGGGGCAACCCUGAUCCAGCAAUACCGCGUGUGUGAAGAAGGCCUGAGGGUUGUAAAGCACUUUCAAUUGUGAAGAAAAGUUAACGGUUAAUAACCGUUAGCCUUGACGUUAACUUUAGAAGAAGCACCGGCUAACUCCGUGCCAGCAGCCGCGGUAAUACGGAGGGUGCAAGCGUUAAUCGGAAUUACUGGGCGUAAAGCGUGCGUAGGCGGUUUAUUAAGUCAGAUGUGAAAGCCCCGGGCUUAACCUGGGAACUGCAUUUGAAACUGGUAAACUAGAGUAUGGUAGAGGAAAGUGGAAUUUCUGGUGUAGCGGUGAAAUGCGUAGAUAUCAGAAGGAACAUCAAUGGCGAAGGCAGCUUUCUGGACCAAUACUGACGCUGAGGUACGAAAGCGUGGGUAGCAAACAGGAUUAGAUACCCUGGUAGUCCACGCCGUAAACGAUGAUAACUAGCCGUUGGGGGGAUUUACCCUUUAGUGGCGAAGCUAACGCGUUAAGUUAUCCGCCUGGGGAGUACGGCCGCAAGGUUAAAACUCAAAGGAAUUGACGGGGACCCGCACAAGCGGUGGAGCAUGUGGUUUAAUUCGAUGCAACGCGAAGAACCUUACCUGGUCUUGACAUCCUGCGAACUUUCUAGAAAUAGAUUGGUGCCUUCGGGAACGCAGUGACAGGUGCUGCAUGGCUGUCGUCAGCUCGUGUCGUGAGAUGUUGGGUUAAGUCCCGUAACGAGCGCAACCCCUAUCCUUAUUUGCCAGCACAUUAUGGUGGGAACUAUAAGGAGACUGCCGGUGAUAAACCGGAGGAAGGCGGGGACGACGUCAAGUCAUCAUGGCCCUUACGACCAGGGCUACACACGUGCUACAAUGGGAAGGACAAAGAGCCGCGAAGCCGCGAGGUGUAGCUAAUCUCAUAAACCUUUUCGUAGUCCGGAUUGGAGUCUGCAACUCGACUCCAUGAAGUCGGAAUCGCUAGUAAUCGUAGAUCAGAAUGCUACGGUGAAUACGUUCCCGGGUCU
rnacentral:rRNA from 1 species